rnacentral:rRNA from 1 species
CCUACGGGUGGCAGCAGUGAGGAAUAUUGGUCAAUGGCCGGAAGGCUGAACCAGCCAAGCCGCGUGAAGGACGAAGGUGCCAAGCAUUGUAAACUUCUUUUGUCAAGGGACAAAAUCAGGCUCGAGAGCCUGACCGAGGGUACUUGAAGAAAAAGCAUCGGCUAACUCCGUGCCAGCAGCUGCGGUAAUACGGAGGAUGCGAGCGUUAUCCGGAUUUAUUGGGUUUAAAGGGUGCGUAGGCGGACUGUUAAGUCAGCGGUAAAAGCCCGGGGCUCAACCCCGGCGAGCCGUUGAAACUGGGUGGCUUGAGAUGUCGAGAGGUAUGCGGAAUGCGCAGUGUAGCGGUGAAAUGCUUAGAUAUUGCGCAGAACUCCGAUUGCGAAGGCAGCAUACCGGCGGCGAUCUGACGCUGAGGCACGAAAGCGUGGGUAUCGAACAGGAUUAGAUACCCGAGUAGUC